rnacentral:rRNA from 1 species
AGAGUUUGAUCCUGGCUCAGAAUGCUUUUUGGCGGCGUGGAUUAGGCAUGCAAGUCGUACGGUAAGCUCCUUAGCUUGCUAUGGAGCCUAGAGUGGCGAAAGGGAUAGGACAAUGUAGAUAACAUACCCUCGGGACCGGGAUAGCGUUUGGAAACGAACGGUAAUACCGGAUAACAUCUCCGGAUCAAAGGUGAGAUUCCGCCUGAGGAUUGGUUUACACACUAUUAGAUAGUUGGCGGGGUAAAGGCCCACCAAGUCAAAGAUGGUUACCGGGCGUGAGAGCGUGACCCGGAUCACUGGGACUGAGACACUGCCCAGACACCUACGGGUGGCUGCAGUCGAGAAUCUUCGGCAAUGGGCGCAAGCCUGACCGAGCGACGCCGCGUGUGUGAUGAAGGUCUUCGGAUUGUAAAGCACUGUCGUGUAGGAGGAAAUCACAUGGGGCAAUCCCCAUGUGUUGACCUAUCACAGGAGGAAGGACGGGCUAAGUUCGUGCCAGCAGCCGCGGUAAGACGAACUGUCCAAACGUUAUUCGGAAUCACUGGGCUUAAAGGGUGCGUAGGCGGUUACAUAAGUGGGGUCUGAAAUCCCGCAGCUCAACUGCGGAACUGGGCUUCAAACUGUAUGACUAGAGUGAGGCAGGGGUAAGCGGAACUUGCGGUGGAGCGGUGAAAUGCUUUGAUAUUGCAAGGAACACCGGUGGCGAAAGCGGCUUACUUGGCCUUUACUGACGCUGAAGCACGAAAGCCAGGGUAGCGAACGGGAUUAGAUACCCCGGUAGUCCUGGCUGUAAACGCUGAGUACUUGGUCGGAG